rnacentral:tRNA from 1 species
GAGGGUAGAGCUCAGUGGUAGAGUGUGUGCUUAGCAUGCGUGAGGUCCUGGGCUCAAUCCCAAGUAUCUUUG